rnacentral:rRNA from 1 species
UUACGGUCAAAUCACGCUGAAACACCGGUUCUCGUUCGAUCAGCGAAGUUAAGCAUCGUAGAGCCAGGUCAGUACUUAGAUGGGGGACCGCUUGGGAACACCGGUACUGUAAG